ensembl:lncRNA
CCGACCUUCUCUGCUCAACAGUGCACUUUUCUAUUUGGUGCUGCAGACAAAUAGGUUAUGGGAAACUUCUCAACCCCUCCUCUCUCUCUCCCCCUCUCACUGGCUCUCGCUUAUACGGUAGCUGUCGUUCUCGUGCGCUUGGACUGUGCUCUUGUGAGAAUCAGAGCCGCUGAGGCACGCGUAAUCAACUGCGUAUUAGCGGCAAUUUUAAACCGAAAGCAGCCUGUGCACGCCGGCUUCAUACCUACAGCAGGAGAUGCAUCUGGUCACGUCGACUUCGGCAUAAUUAUAAAAAACCUUUGCUCAAGGCUGAAAAAAAUGUCACCAUUACUUACCCACUGGAAGAGAGCAGGAGAAAACUGGCAUCAGUGUUAUCAAAUGAUAAACCAACAUGAGGGAUGGAGGCUUGUUGUUUAAUUGAAAGAGGGCAGGGACAAGGCAACACAAAUCCAAAAGGCUUCCAAUGCACAAGGACUCAAACAGCAACCAUGGGAAUGAAGGCUACUGGGGUUCAAGUGAUGCUUCCGAUGAGGUGCGUUGCUCUUUGAUGUGAAAAAGGAAGGUUGCGAGAGCUCUCUCCAGCACAUGCCACCCUCAUUAGUGUCCAGCAGCUGAAGACGCGAGGUCACAAACCCAAUGAGUUGCACAUUUCAUUCAGCUUUGCCGACAUGGAAAGAUGACCACUGUGACCUAAUGUUCGGUGCGGUCUGACAGCACAUUGUGUGCAUCAUACGAAGUGGCUUGAAUAACCCUUGAACCUUGUGUGGAGUGCAUUAUUUUUUAUGAAAUUGCCAACUUUUCAACAUUCUUGUAGAUUUUAUUCAUUCAAUAAAUUGUGCAUUUUUCUAAAAAAGGGAACAGGUCUUGUGAUUUAUUUGCUGAACUGUGGGUGAUGAAAUAUUUAAUAUCCUGGGUAUUAAAAUGAUCAGUCUCGGAUCCAUU